GCAGGGAAUGUGAUAGAGGCAUCAUUUCAGCUGAGUCCGUCAUUCUUUCUUUGGCUAGUGAGCACAAUGUGGAAAUGUUAGGGUUUUCUGAGCAGUGUCCUCCAUUGGCUUCCUGCAUUGGCUUUCACCCCUGCGCUCGCCUGGCAAUGCCCUGAACAGCUGCUAUUCACAGAGCAUAAAGUCGGGGAGAAAUGACAGAAGACGACAGAGAGGAGCUGCCUUUUGUAACAUCAAUUCUUAGAGGGGCUGGUUUUCAGCUGCAUGCACCAGCCAGUUGGCGGGGAGUGCGGCGAGGGUGUUCUUUUCAUCCAUGACCUAUUUCUACUUGGUCUUAUAGGAAAAUCAUAAUCUUACUGAUGACAGAGACAGAGUAUGUGAUGCCCCAAAUUCAGAAUCAUCACAAGGCUGAGCAGAAGGAUAAACAAGUGUAAUAAAUAGAAUCCAAAUG
rnacentral:lncRNA from 1 species